UUAGGCAAGGCUUUAAAAGAAGAUUUUUUUUUUUCUAACUGGAGUCAGAGAGAUGUGACAAAGUGAAGUGAAAGAUUAGAAACCUGAGAAGAAGCCAGGUGGUGGUGGCUCACACCUUUAAUCCCAGCUCUAAGCAGUCAGAAGCAGAUGAAUUUCCAAGAGUUUGAGGACAGCCUGGUCUACAAAGAAUUAAGUCUGAACUUAGUGGAGAGAAACUGCCUCCUUUGCCAUAUUCGUGUUGGAUAGAGAGGACAUGAACUUGUCACCAGCUCUCUUGCCUGCAACAGAACCCCAGCCAAGGAAGAAGAGAGAACAAAAUUCAGCUCCAAACACUCACCAGUGUGGGGUGACUUGUAUUUCUGAAUUCUGAAGAACUGUUAAGGAUAUAAAGUGACUCGAAAGUUUCAGUUGCAGGAGAGGGAUCAUACGUGUCAUUUAUCUAUAACAAAA